ACCUUAAUGAAAGGAAAAUUUAUUAAGCUAUUUGAUUUGUAAUCAAUAGGUCCGCGGUUUGAGUCCGUGCGGGGGUACCA
rnacentral:tRNA from 1 species